rnacentral:rRNA from 1 species
AUGGAGAAGCAGCAGCAGGAGAGGAUGCUCCUCCAAGCCGCCUUCGACGGCAACCUCCGUCUCGUCAAAAAGAUGGCGCGGAGGCUCAACUCCGGGCCAGGCGAGGCGGCCAUCAUGGCGGCGGUGGUUGACGGAAAGAGCGGGAACAGCGCGCUGCACCUGGCGGCCAUGGAGGAGAAGAUGGACGUCUGCAGGUACCUCGUGGAGGACCUCCGCCUUGACAUCAACCAAACCAACGACAAUGGUGAAACUCCGCUAUUCCUUUCUGCAUUCUUUGGGAGAGCUGUGGCUGCAAAAUAUCUUCUUGCUCAUGAUGCCGAUCCAAAGUUAGGUGGUAAAACAGGAUCGCCUCUCCAUGCUGCUGCACACAAAGAACAUCAAGGAAUAGUCAAACUGCUGCUUUCAAGAGGAAUUGACGUGGAUUUACCUUCGCCGCUUGGAACUCCGUUGCAUUUGGCUGCUACUUAUGGUCAAGAUGGUACGAUGAAGAUUUUGUUGGAGCACCAUGCAGAUCCAAACAAGGUUCUCAACCUUGAUGAUACCCCGUUGAGUAUGGCCAUAAGGCCCAUACCAACUGCAUCGGUGAACUGUGUGAAGCUACUCAUUAAGGCUGGCGCUGAUGUGAAUUUCACUGACUCGAAUGGUGGUAGUUACGUGGCGUUGGCAGCAACUUGUGGCUCAGCUGGCAUCAUGAACUGUUUACUAGAAGCUGGUGCCAACCCGAAUAUUGCAGAUGAAUUUGGUAUAACUCCAAUUGAAGUUGCUGCUUCCCAAGGCAGAAGAGAAAUUGUUGAAAUGUUAUUUCCCGUAACUUCUCCGAUUUCAAAGCUUCCCGAUUGGAGCAUUGACGGGGUCAUUUCGCAUGUGAAAACUUUUGGUUUGCAGCGGGAUAAACUUAAGUGUCAGAAGAAAAGAGCUGAAUUGAAAUUAAAAGCUGCUGAGGCUUUUAAGAGAAGUGAAUAUAUGAUGGCAGCAGAGAUGUAUACUGUUGCAAUGGAACUUGGCCCUAGCUCAGAUGAUUAUGCAACCCUGCUAGCAAAUAGGAGUCUCUGUUUGUUGCGCUUGGAAAAUGGAACUAUGGCUCUCAAAGAUGCUACUUUGUGUAGAAUGAUGCGACCCAACUGGCCAAAAGCCUGCUAUCGACAAGGGGCUGCUUUUAUGCGUCUGAAGGACUACGAAAAAGCAUGUGAGGCUUUCGCAGAUGGCCUAAAGUUGGACCCCAAAGCCGUUGACAUUGAGAAUGCUUUAAGGUAA